GGAAUGACAUGAUUUAUCUACAUGAUUUGUUUUUAACUGUAAUUUAUGAUUGUUAUUUGUUUAAGCGACUGGUCAAGAAACUACGUAACAUGGUAUCUUAGCAACAUUAAUUGGAGAAUUGCGCACUUGCAUUAUACACAGCAGUUUGCUAAUCGUCCGAGUUUGUUCGUAGCAGUUAUUUGCACCAGUAUGACUUCCAGAUUUCAUUAUAACUCCUAAAGUUUCACCCUAUACUUGAAGGGUAACCAACACAGUUGUUGAAUAGUUUAUUAUUCACUACGUUUGUACACCACAAGAGAUUAAAGAAGGCAUCAAGAAUCAAGUUA